rnacentral:rRNA from 1 species
CACGUAGGGUGCAAGCGUUGUCCGGAAUCAUUGGGCGUAAAGAGCUCGUAGGCGGCUUAGUAAGUCGGGUGUGAAAACCCCAGGCUCAACCUGGGGACGCCACCCGAUACUGCUAUAGCUAGAGUCCAGUAGGGGAGUGUGGAAUUCCCAGUGUAGCGGUGAAAUGCGCAGAUAUUGGGAGGAACACCGGUGGCGAAGGCGGUUCUCUGGGCCUUACCUGACGCUGAGGAGCGAAAGCGUGGGGAGCGAACCGG